rnacentral:rRNA from 1 species
GGGGAAUAUUGGACAAUGGGCGCAAGCCUGAUCCAGCCAUGCCGCGUGAGUGAUGAAGGCCUUCGGGUUGUAAAGCUCUUUUGGCGGGGACGAUGAUGACGGUACCCGCAGAAUAAGCCCCGGCUAACUUCGUGCCAGCAGCCGCGGUAAGACGAAGGGGGCAAGCGUUGUUCGGAAUUACUGGGCGUAAAGGGCGCGUAGGCGGUCCGAUCAGUCAGGCGUGAAAGCCCUGGGCUUAACCUGGGAGGUGCGCUUGAUACUGUUGGGCUUGAGUGUGGGAGAGGAUGGUGGAAUUCCCAGUGUAGAGGUGAAAUUCGUAGAUAUCGGGAAGGAUACCAGUGGCGAAGGCGGCCAACUGGUCCAGAUCUGACGCUGAGGUGCGAAAGCGUGGGGAGCAAACA